UACGUAGGGUGCAAGCGUUUGUCCGGAAUUAUUGGGCGUAAAGAGCUCGUAGGCGGCUUGUCGCGUCGGCUGUGAAAACCUGGGGCUCAACCCCGGGCCUGCAGCCGAUACGGGCAGCUAGAAUUCGGUAGGGGAGACUGGAAUUCCUGGUGUAGCGGUGAAAUGCGCAGAUAUCAGGAGGAACACCGGUGGCGAAGGCGGGUCUCUGGGCCGAAAUUGACGCUGAGGAGCGAAAGCGUGGGGAGCGAACAGG
rnacentral:rRNA from 1 species